rnacentral:lncRNA from 1 species
CCGCAUUCCUAGCCCGGGUGAAGAGGGAGGGGCCCUCACCCAGCCUUGUUCUGUGAGGGGCAGGUUGAAUGGGGAGCUUUGAAUCCUGCCCAACUGGCCCUCCUCCCCAGGCUCCUCCCUGGUGGGAAGCCUCCACCCUUUCUUUCCCAGGGGACCCGCCUUCUGCGCUGCCUGUGCUCAGUCCAGCAUGUUCUCAGCUCUGGCAGUGUCUUGGGAAGGGCGCCCUCCAGCUGCCCCCAGCUCCCCCUCACUCCCAGGGGCCGGACCCAUUUUCUUUACCCUGUGCACUGUAACAGACAUCCUCCAGCCAGCACCAGGGGGCCCUGGCGGGCCUCUCUGCCCCCUUCCCUCCCCAGGCUGCGUCCAAGAGUAGCUACAACCACCACCACCACUGAUCGAUCGGGUCCACAAGUAGCCACAGCUCAUCUGCACGGGCAGCUGGGCCGGCUUAAGCCCCGCCCUGAAGCUAGAAACGUGCUCGGUCUCCGCCCCUCCGGGACCUCAAUUGUGCAGGUGCCAAAAGUGAGGGAGGGGCCUCGUCCCACACGGCACCCACCGGGCCGCGGGCCGGAGGCAGCACCCGGUGGCGGUGGCGGGCGACCCCGACUGGACGCACCUACACGCUUGGGACCCAGAGAUGGGCACCUGCCGACACAUACAUCUCGCCAGGACAUCAAGCCAGCCCAAGAUCUCAGGAAUGAGAACAGAGCGGACAAGUCCCUCCUUCCCUCCCUGGCAUCAACCCCUGGUCAAGACGAAGUCUGUGAGGGGCACCUGGGUGGCUCAGUCGGUUGAGUGUCUGGCUACGGCUCAGGUCAUUAUCUCGUGGUUCGUGGGUUCAAGCCCCAUGUCAGGUUUUGUGCUGACAGCUAGCUCAGAGCCUGGAGCCUGCUUCAGUUCUGCAUCUCCCCCCCUCUCUGACCCUCCCCUGCUCAAGCUGUCUCUCUUUCUCUCUCUCUCAAAAAUAAAUAAAACAUUAAAAAAAAAAAAAAAGACGAAGUCUGUGUCUUCUGCCUGACAAGAUUCUGCUCCAAAAAGAUGUGGCAGAUGCAGCUCCAAGCGAC